AUAAACAAAUUAAUUGCUUUUUUUAAAGUUAGAAGCUUUACUAUUCUAUUUCUUU
rnacentral:tRNA from 1 species